GGUUAAGCGACUAAGCGUACACGGUGGAUGCCCUGGCAGUCAGAGGCGAUGAAGGACGUGCUAAUCUGCGAUAAGCGCCGGUAAGGUGAUAUGAACCGUUAUAACCGGCGAUUUCCGAAUGGGGAAACCCAGUGUGAUUCGUCACACUAUCAUUAACUGAAUCCAUAGGUUAAUGAGGCGAACCGGGGGAACUGAAACAUCUAAGUACCCCGAGGAAAAGAAAUCAACCGAGAUUCCCCCAGUAGCGGCGAGCGAACGGGGAGGAGCCCAGAGCCUGAAUCAGCAUGUGUGUUAGUGGAAGCGUCUGGAAAGGCGCGCGAUACAGGGUGACAGCCCCGUACACAAAAGCGCAUGUGCUGUGAGCUCGAUGAGUAGGGCGGGACACGUGGUAUCCUGUCUGAAUAUGGGGGGACCAUCCUCCAAGGCUAAAUACUCCUGACUGACCGAUAGUGAACCAGUACCGUGAGGGAAAGGCGAAAAGAACCCCGGCGAGGGGAGUGAAAAAGAACCUGAAACCGUGUACGUACAAGCAGUGGGAGCACAGGUUUACCUGUGUGACUGCGUACCUUUUGUAUAAUGGGUCAGCGACUUAUAUUCUGUAGCAAGGUUAACCGUAUAGGGGAGCCGUAGGGAAACCGAGUCUUAACCGGGCGUUAAGUUGCAGGGUAUAGACCCGAAACCCGGUGAUCUAGCCAUGGGCAGGUUGAAGGUUGGGUAACACUAACUGGAGGACCGAACCGACUAAUGUUGAAAAAUUAGCGGAUGACCUGUGGCUGGGGGUGAAAGGCCAAUCAAACCGGGAGAUAGCUGGUUCUCCCCGAAAGCUAUUUAGGUAGCGCCUCGUGAAUUCAUCUCCGGGGGUAGAGCACUGUUUCGGCUAGGGGGCCAUCCCGGCUUACCAACCCGAUGCAAACUGCGAAUACCGGAGAAUGUUAUCACGGGAGACACACGGCGGGUGCUAACGUCCGUCGUGAAGAGGGAAACAACCCAGACCGCCAGCUAAGGUCCCAAAGUCAUGGUUAAGUGGGAAACGAUGUGGGAAGGCCCAGACAGCCAGGAUGUUGGCUUAGAAGCAGCCAUCAUUUAAAGAAAGCGUAAUAGCUCACUGGUCGAGUCGGCCUGCGCGGAAGAUGUAACGGGGCUAAACCAUGCACCGAAGCUGCGGCAGCGACGCUUAUGCGUUGUUGGGUAGGGGAGCGUUCUGUAAGCCUGCGAAGGUGGCCUGUGAGGGUUGCUGGAGGUAUCAGAAGUGCGAAUGCUGACAUAAGUAACGAUAAAGCGGGUGAAAAGCCCGCUCGCCGGAAGACCAAGGGUUCCUGUCCAACGUUAAUCGGGGCAGGGUGAGUCGACCCCUAAGGCGAGGCCGAAAGGCGUAGUCGAUGGGAAACGGGUUAAUAUUCCCGUACUUGGUGUUACUGCGAAGGGGGGACGGAGAAGGCUAUGUUGGCCGGGCGACGGUUGUCCCGGUUUAAGCGUGUAGGUGUGUGUUCCAGGUAAAUCCGGUUCACUUUAACACUGAGGCGUGACGACGAGGCACUACGGUGCUGAAGCAACAAAUGCCCUGCUUCCAGGAAAAGCCUCUAAGCAUCAGGUAACAUCAAAUCGUACCCCAAACCGACACAGGUGGUCAGGUAGAGAAUACCAAGGCGCUUGAGAGAACUCGGGUGAAGGAACUAGGCAAAAUGGUGCCGUAACUU
rnacentral:rRNA from 1 species